GCCGCGGUAGCUCAGGGGUAGAGCGUCUCUCUGAAAAAGAGAAGGUCGACGGUUCGAUUCCGUCCCGCGGCA
rnacentral:tRNA from 1 species